rnacentral:ribozyme from 1 species
UGCAGAGUGAAAAAGGGCUGUCCGAAAUCACGGGGCGGCCCUUUUGUAAUGCAGGUUGCCGGUCACAACCCCGG